AGACUUUGUCUGAAAGGAGUGUUAAACA
rnacentral:piRNA from 1 species